rnacentral:misc_RNA from 1 species
UUGAACUUUGCAAGAAUAUCCUUUUUAUAUGUACAAAAAUCAUGAGCUCUUUUGACAUGCACAAGCUUUGCACAAGCACUCACAAUGGCCUGCACUGUGCCACUGUGUACUUGAGGAAUCUAUCAAGAGCCCUGCUAGUUAAUUCUUUCGAGGAAUAGUGAUAUACGCAAAUUAUAUUCCCUUUCUCCUGACACAAAAGUUUGUGUGUGCGUGUGUGUGAGAGAGAAGGAAUCAUCCACUAAUAAAAGCCUGGAUUUGAGACAUCAUUUCAAGUGUUCGAGUUUGCGAGACCUGAGACUUACUCAGAACCUGAAAUCCAUGCCCUACACCUUUAUGUAUCACAUGCUCCACUGCCUUCCUUGCUUUAGCCAAAGCAGCAACAAGCUCCAAGUUUCUAUCUUUCAAAAUAUCCAUCUCUGAUAUGCAGACCAUCACCGGCAACUCCAUCAGAUCCUCCAUUUUCAUUGAUCCUUUUCCCAGAGGGUUGCACCAUGGAUGCUCACGAUUAGCACCAAAUGGCAAAGCUAGUCUCCAAUAUGUAUCCGAGGUUGCCAGGCUUAGUGCUGACCGAGAUGACUGUAUUAAAUAUUUCUCUGAAUUGGUUAGUAGCUCUCCCCCGAAAAAUGGUUGAAUCAAGAUUAAGCCCUUAAGAUCUAAUGGCUUUAUUGCUGCAGCUUCUUCAGAACUUAGCCUUGCAAUAAUAUUAUAGGCUACGUUGGCACCAGCACUAUCACCAGCUACGAAAAUGUUAGAGAAAUUGCAUUGCCUAGACCACCAGUCACUAGCUGAACUUAAAGCUUGUUGUUUUAACCACAUUAAAGCCUUAAUCCCAUCAUCAAAAGCUGCCGGGAGAGGAUUUUCCGGGGCUAAACGAUAGUUGACAGACAUGACCAGGCAACCUGCCUUGGCAGCCAGCCUUGCCAGGAACUCAUGAUAGCAACUCCAAGCAGCUGAACCGACACAGAACCCACCUCCAUGGAAAUAUACAAUUAAUGGGAGCUUACCAUGGCAAGUGGUUGGAACAUAAAAACGUGCCCAAAUAUCUGUGAACUUGUCAAUGACUAUGUCUCGUGAGGUCACACCAUGCUCAGGAGGCAAAGCGCUCGUAACGCAUGGAACGAUCUGAGGCCUUUCUACAUGCCCAUCUUUGUACACUUUAAUUAGACCAUCGAUUUCCUCUGUAAUUCCAACUCCUCGACGGUGACAAUCUUUGUCAAUUUGCAGGCUUAAACUCGAAUCCAGUGAAAUUGCAACCAUUCUUCUCCUUCUCACACAACACACAAUAGAAAUUAAGAAAGUAAAUCUUUGAAGUUUUUUCUGAUUUGCUAUUAGCUAGCAAGUGCUUGUUCCCAG